GAUGCAGUCAGGAGGAACUGCUGCCACCUAAGCAAUCCCAUACAGCAACAGACCAUAUAGGUUAUAUAAAGCCUUUACGAAUUCACUGUCAGUGAAUUUUUUUUGAGCUGUUUUGCUUCAGGGGCUCCUGGCUUUACCUCCUGAUUAGUGACCAGCUAUGGCUCCACCACCUUCAUGCCAAGAAGCCUCUAUUUGCAUCCUUCUAAGAAAAUAUAACCCUGACUCUCUGAGCACUGGGACACGCAACUGAAAGGAGACCACACCAACCCAAAAUCAGGUCUCAGGAUUCAUCAGCGACAGACUGGUAUUACCCUAAAGUGCUGGAGGCUUGUGUGAUCACUGUGAGAAGUUUCUCCCACGCAUGCAAGUAGCAGGGAGAAGGCUGUGACAGCAGAAGCUUUAAAAAAGAUUCAGGAAAUGAUGCAAGUUAAUUUCUGUUCGAAGUGCUCAGAAAUAUGACACCUUGGAAAAGGAUAUUUUCUGGACCUGAGAUAUAUGACUACUUGUACUUACAUCUGGCUCAAAAUACAGGUCGUAAAAGACUUUUAAAAGUGGUUUUGAAUGUUACUGGAGGCAAUCCAAAGGCAAGUUUAGUUUUAAUUUUCUGUCUUAGCUGGUAUGAAUUCAGCAAGAGCAGAAUUAUGUUCUGCAGGUCUUUUUAGGCACUUUAC